CUAAAAUACUUAUAUUAGGGAUUGUAAGAAUCGUAAAGUGUGUGUGUGUGUGUGUGUGCGCGCGCUAACAAAAGAAUCGCGAACUUUGUAACUCUCCAGAUUAAAAUAUUGCAUUACCAACGAGACGACGUUUCGCUUUGAAACUUUCUAGUGACAGAUGGAAGAUCACUCGAAAUUUACUGAACGCGUACACGAUUGCGAAGUCUGCACCUGUCGGUGUUUUGAAUCGGGUCAUGUGCUUUGCUAGACUAUGGUAAAAGUCGUGAUGCGCUACACCUGUGUGCCGACAACAAAUUGGAUUUUUUUAUUCUCCUCUAAAAAGAAAAAAAUACGUUAUAUAAAGGGGCGUGCUGAAAAUAUGCAGCAGGUGGGGCAAAGAAUCUUCAAGAGAGAAAUUUGGCAUGGCAUCAAAAGCGCUUUUUGGUAAUAAUGGUUUGUUUUACAGUCUCUCGCGAGUAGUUGCAAUGGCGCCUCUCUUCCAGUAUAAUGGCAGCAUGGAGUUGGGUUAUGGUUGCUUUUGUCCAGCUGUUUGGAACGUGUUGCGUUCAAUAGAAAGACACAUAAGCUGGUAUCGGUUUUAAAAAAAGAGUUUUUUUCCCCCUCCCUCGUUAGACAAACCGAAUUUUCGAAAAGAAACCACUUGGAGAGCAUUCCCAACCGAGCAAUAAACCGAAAGACGAGAUGGAAAAAUAUUUUUUAGAUAACUGUACAGUACUUCUACUACUACUACUAGCAAUGUCCGUUACUUUGUCUGACUCGAGGUUAAAAGUAAAGUAGAAAAAAGAAAAACAGAUUAAGUUACAUCAACGCUGGGGAGAAUAAUUUGCGUGCAAGCUUAUUCCUCUUGUGCUUGAAAGAGUUCAAGCUGAACAGACUGCAAAGUUUUAUUUAUAGGAACAUUUUUGACUUCUCUCCCUCCCUCUUCUGGCAUAGUUCCAAUGUCUGAUGAACAUAUCCAAGGCUGAUUUAGCAGUUGUAAAGAAUUGAGAUUUUUUUUUCAUGCACCGAGUUUCAAGAAGUGUGAGGUAGUGCCAUUUAUCAUUGUUAAUUGUUUAUUAAAAUGAGAUCGGAGGCUACGGUUUCGCUUCUUUUGCUUUUUUUUUUACACUCCGUUUGAUGGUUAUGUGGUGGUCAUAUUCUCUUUGGGGUUUUGCCCCCUCGUGAGAGUGACAUUUGACUCGAAACAUCUGUCUCCUCCCAGAUGAUGGUGCAUUGAACUUACUAAUGAUCUGUGCCCUUUUUUUACUCUACAGAAUACGAAUUCUUAACACGUGUAACGGUUGGUUGGCGCCUUAGCUCUCGAGUCGUUGCCUUUAUUGCGUCAUAAAUAUCUAUACAUAUUGUUUUCUAUCUUUCGAUAUGUUUGGGAGUGAACUGUUGACAGACCGACUCCAGUUACGCGCUGUUCAGCCGCUUAACUCCGAAUUUUUACUCUACCAGGCUAUUUUUCCCACUGUCAAAGGAGUUCUCCAUUCAGGUAGUUUCCUUACAAACCGAUCUUGCGGGCGACACGAGAAUUCCAUUAAGAUUCGACAGAUGCCACUUUUACGUGCUUCUCUACCGGGACCGUUAUUGAGAACAUGGUAGCGUUUUGUGAAAAAGCGAAUUACUCGAGUUGCACCAACUUCUCCAUUCCGCAGCAGUUCCCUUCAUAAUUUACUCCUUUCGGGGUGAAUUUUGUUUACUUUUCAGGUUCUUUGACUUCCUUUCGUAAGUCUAAAAUAUUAUAUUUGUUUUAGUUCAGUUUUUAGGCCUUUAAAGGAGUGUUGCAACGCACGCAGAACUUUAUCCUUCUUUGGUAUUGUAAAAUGCAAGUCGGUAAGUGUGACAUCAUUUUUUUUUUUUUUUUUUGCAUCAGAUAAAACUGAUUCACGACAGAUAUUAUUCAUAAAUUUAAUAGAUUUUUUCCAGUCUGAUCUGACGUGAUCAACGUAUUAAACCAAUGCAAAUAGAGGCAUUUUAACGAUGAGAUAUUUACUUUAACAACUUACGCUUUUCCUUCCUUAUUCUGCCAUGAUGCAAUGUUUUUCUUAAUGGAUGACGCCAUCGGCCGUGACAUGUUUAUAAUCGAGAAUGGAAGAUCCAAACACGUAGGCCGGAAAUUAAAGAGACUUUAAAAAAAAAAAAAAAAAAACCUUACAAAACCGUCCCUCCGGGAAAGCGAGGUGUGUUUACUGGGUGUAAAGUAUGCAGAAAGUGGAGUUUACUUCGCCUACAGAUAACCAGUUAACCAGUCUUUUUUGAUCCUUUUUGCCCCUGCACAUUUGUUCCUAUCUGUACGGCCGAAAAAAAGUACGUUUGCAAUUUGUUCCUUACACGACCGUUAGUCAUAAUGGCAUCCUUCAAACCUGCUGCACUCGUGACGUAAUAGUGUGACUCACCUCUUUUGUUGAGGCGCCUUUUGGCCUCACUUAAGCCCUCACUUCAGCUGCUAUGGCUUGUUUAUUGUGAGGUGCCGGAACGGAUUUAUCAACAACUAUCAGCUUUACAACAACCGAAAGACCAAAAAAAGGGUCCAAUUUUCCAACCCACACACAUACACACACUUGGGUUAGGAUUGGGUCAUUAGCGGUUGAAGGAUACUAAUUGCUUAAGCUUUCGCACGCCGUGUUAAAUUCUGAUUGAGAGCAUUGUAGUUAUUCAAAAAGACACAAGUAAAACAGGGCAGUGUGACGUUUAAAUUUAGUAUUUUCUCUCCUCUAAAUUCGUUCCAACUUUUCCGAUCACAGAAAUAGAACCCGCAUUGUUUCUCCUGUUGUUCCCCCCUUUUUUUUUAUAAAGUUCUGAAGUUAACCAGACGUAAAUAUUGAGUGAGCUCUAGGCGCAUUUUUCGGAUGGACAAAAAUCGAAUGGAGCAUUCCACUUUCCUCCUCAUAAUACCCCAGAGUCUACUAACUACGUUUUCUGGCAUUCCAACCGUACCCCUGAAGGACCUCCCGAAAGAAGAGGGACAGGAUGAACGAACUGUGACACUGACACUGUCAACAGUACACAGUCGGUAGCUGACGUCACCGAGAGCAAGUACAAUGCCGUCGAGUGAUAAAUUAAGACGCGAUAUAGCCCAUCUACAACAUAUUCGGUUAAUGCCCGUCACGUGACGGCAUAGAAUGCGAUCCGGGCUAGAGGAUCACUAGCCUUGACCCAGUCUAUAGUGUUAAAAGAAAAAAAAAAAAAGCCUAUUCACUCGCAGAGAAGUCGGGCGAAACACACAGACGGAUAAGGUUGCC
rnacentral:lncRNA from 1 species